ensembl:snoRNA
GGUCAAUGAUAUGUUGGCAUGUGUUACCUGAAUUUACUGCUGAUAUGUAAUUACACUUCAGCUCUAGAAUUAUACUGGGACCUU